UUGGCGGCCAUGUUAGACCCACACACACACGGAGGCAGCCGCGGAGCCGGGAGGAUGAGGGGGGCGAGGGACCGAGCGAGAAGGAGAGGACUGGGCGGCUUGCCUAGGGCUUCCCGCCACUGAGGCCAAGUUCCUCAGGCCGGAUAGGGAGCGGGCCCGGUCCGGAACUCGGCGGGAUGAUCUUCUCACUUGAUCCCGGAGAUCCACGGAUUAGGGUAGGCCUCGUUUCCCUACGAGAGGCUGGAGCGGCCUGGUUCCAGGCCCUGUUGAUUCCUGGGUUCGGGACGGGAGUGGACCCGGAGGCCUCCUCCCUUAGGCAGGGAGAAGUGGGGGCGACUCAGUCCCCUUAGCGUCUCGAGACCGCCUCCGCCCUGGCUUGCCGCGCCUGCGGCCUCCGAUCUGCCCCGGCUCCUAGCGAGAUGUUUAUCUCCGCGGCUCCUGCUCCUCCCUCCCCCUCGGGAGGGUUCUGGGCCUUUCCAUGUAUUUUUUUUUUUAAUCUUAUCUGGGAUUCCUCCACUUCUCCCCCCCCCCUUCAAACAAGAGAGAGAAGAAAACAAAGAAGAAUAAGAGACGACAAUAGCCUUUGAACCACGGGAUCAGAGUUUGUCAGCACAAUGGAAAUGGAAUGAAAUUUCUUUUCAUCUUACGGGUUUCCGAAGACCCAUCUAAUCUUUCUGUUAUACCAUUUCUCUCCUUUAUACUCCUAUUCUAAAAAGACACAAGCAUUUUGAAUCAAUAAAAGGGUAUACUUUAGAUCUUGGUAAUAGCUGAAUAAAUAAAAGUGUAAUUGAGGUUAUUUUUGGAAAAUGAGAUUGUGAGAUUAAAAGUGAAAAGCUAGAAGAAAAUAUUUGGAAACUAACUAAAAGGUCUUUCUUUCAGAUGUAUGCAGGGGAUAAAAACAAGUUGUCUUUUUUAAAUGUCGAAAUUUGGGGAACAGUUCAACACAGUGAAUGGGCUUUUCUUUGGUGUAAGGCCUUGGUGAUCUCUUGGCAUCAUUUGUAUAUGUGAUAAAAAAAAAAGGCUUUGAAUGGGAAUAAUUUUGUACUAGACAUCUGGAAACAUUUUCGUUCUAAAGUGAUACUAGUAAGUAAAAAAUGGUAAGUACAAGGAAAAAAUACUUUUUGUUUUGUUUUUGCUUGUAUUCUAAAACUGUUGAAUUUCACAUCCUAGAUGAGUAGAAGUAAUAAUUCUAUUCCAUAUUUGUGAACUGUGAAAAUUAUUUCAAAGUAAUGUUAAGUAUGUAAAAAAAAAUUUUUUUUGCAUGUCUCGUUUCCUUAUGGACUUGAAUUACCUGGAACCUUUCCUUGAACAGAAAAGAUUUAUUUCUUUACAGAAGAGAUCUUCACUUCUGUUUGAAUUGCUUUUGAAGUCCCAUUUGGUGGAAUGAAAAGACUUAACACUAACUGGAUUAAACAAGUUUACUUGUCAGAUUGGUAUGUGGAUAAAAGAGAAGAAUAAAAUAGUUCAUUGUAGUACAUAACAUGAUACAUCUUAAAGCGGUUUGAAAUUUUUCCAGCCUUCACUAAUGAACAUAUGGGGUGUGACUAUAAAAUAAUGAAACUAUUUUCUUCCUGGUAUUUGUGGAGACAGUCUUAUUUCUUUAUAGUCAUAAAUGUUUUGUUGGUAUGACAGCUAAAAGAAGCCAUGAUGAAUUCUUUCAUCUAAUGUCUUUUUUGCCUUUGAAAAAGUGUUAUGGUAUACUUGUGGUAGUUUAACAUCAGUUACACAAUUGAGGAGACAAUGAGACUGCUCCUUUGGGAAAAGCCAUUGUUUACAGAUGUCUGUUCACUUGGGAAAUCUUCCUUUUGUGGCUGAGUUCUAUAUGAAUUAAUUCUUCAAAACUGCUGUUCAUUUUUUUUCCUAAUUUAUUUAGGACAUAAAGACAAUAGUUCAAAAUAGCUAAUCUUCAUUUUAGAAACUUGUUUCUCCCUGAGCCUCAUGGAACAUCCUAAAUGAAAUUACAACUUUAUUUUUAAAACCAGUGUCAGAAUCCUUGAUUAUUAUAAUUAUAAUGUUUUGAUGAAAUUUUGCCUAGUUUUUCGAUUGUACUGAUUUAGGUUUCACUGUCAUUCCAUUAUGUGGAAUGGAUUUGAUGUCUUAAGGAAUAUUAUUGAAAUAUAACUUUGCUACUUAUGAAUUCUAGCCUAAUUGAUUAGGAAAACUGUUUAAAAGAGAAAAAGUUUCUAUUUCCCAGUAUUUUUGCAUUGGAUGAAAAAGCUUAAUACAGACCGGUACAUAUAUGAAGCUAAGAUUUUAUUGGAGCACAGUACAAGCAGCAUUCAAAAAAAUCCCUUGACUUUAACAAUUUAAAAUGUAAUCUAUUAAAAUGGAAAAGCUUAGUACUAAAGAGCAAGGUGCGUUAGGACCAAGUAUACCAUUUUUCAUCUUUAUGUAACACAUUUCCUUGUUGACAAAUACAGUAGGAACCCUUGUGAUUUCAGUGAGUCAGUUACAUAUUCUCAAUUGCCCAUACUAUACAUUCUUUAAUUCAGGAAUAAUUGAUUCUUAAAAAUCAAGGCACUAAAAGGAAACUUACUUGUGUAUUCAGGUUAUUGGUCUAUAAGCUGAGAUUGUAUAUAUUAUAGAGAUAUUUUUCAGGCACUGGUUGGACUGAAUGAUAUAAUUGGAACUAUAUGGUGCUAGGACAAUUAGUCAUUGCCCAGAUAGCGUAGAAGAAAUAUUUUAAUCUUAAUUGCCAGUCCCCUGGCAUCUGGUGGUUGGUUACUGUAUGGGCUUCCACUUCUAGCCAUAACCAAAAAGAAAUAAAGGAAAAAGCCACACUCUCAUGCUAUCUUUAAAUAGUAGUGAGAUGUCAGCAAAGAAAAAGAGCUCUUCAUUCCAAAGUGUUCUAAGGACUUAUUUUAUAUCAGAGACAUUUCUGUCAUCUUCCUCUGUAUAUAAAGCAAAACUUCAUACCUCCCAUUUGCAAGUAUUUAUAGCACCUGUGUGUUAUGUCCAUUUUAUAUAUUAAGGUAAGUGGCUUUUUAAAGUUAAUGUCUUUUAGCAAAGAAUCAAAUUUUUUUUUUGUUACUAUCUCAGUGUCAAAUUUGUUAGUGGUUCCCCACUUCAUCCCCCAUAAUAGUGCAAAUCUAAUUGGUAAUGGAAAUGUUUUAUUUUUCAGGUAUAAUGAAGUCAAGCCCAAUAGAAUUUGAAAAACUGAAAAUGAAGAAAGUUUUUUUUUUAAAUUUGUAUACAUGAGAAAGGUUUUAGAUUGUGUGAACUUUUGAGAAAAUGUUAAGAUUUAUGCAGUUUCGUUAUUAUAUUGUCUGCAUCUGACAUUGGCAGAAAUCACUGGAUUUCAAGUUGGGACUUGACUUACAUUUGUGUGAACCUAGUGAAGUCACUUAACCUUUCUGGGCCUGUUUUUACUUCAAAAUGAAAUUUGAUUGGAUGAUCUAAGAAUGGCAGGGAUAGAAAAUUAAGUAGUUUAUGUAACUACACUUGCCCUAAUGUCUAGAUAGUUGUUAUUGCUUAAUCCUAAUUAGUUAAUUGUAAAUCUGGCAAAUGAAAUUACAGUCUAAGAAAGAUGCAGAACUUUAGAAUUUUUAAUAUCAAAUGUGUGCUGAUUUUUUAGUUUGACCUAGUUCUAUGAUCUUGGCUAUUGAAAGUUUUGAAUUUGUUUCAGAUCUACCCCAAGUACCAGAGUCAUAAUCUCUUACACGAUUUACCUGAAAUUAUAAAACAAAUUCUUUGUUUAGGUUUCUAGGCCUAAUGUUAGAAAGCAAAGAACCAGAUCACAAAUUCUAGCUUUGGUAGCUACAUCAUCUUUGGCAGGUUACUAGACAUAUUCGUCCUUCAAACAAGGGAUUAGGACUAAAUGUCACCAAGGUAGUUGUUAGCUCGGAAUCCUAUGGCUUAUAUUACUAAGAGUUUAUCAACAUUAAAGUGAUCAAAAUUAAAACUACCUUAGGGAGGUGUGGAAAUACUUUGUGCAAAAUGCCAGCCUAAACAAUUCUGUUGAGUUGGAAUAGCUAACCAACCUAAAGUGCAUAAAAAAAGAGUAUUGAGUCCAUGUUUCAGUAAUAUAGAGGGUCUAAGAAGUUAAUUGAAGCAUGGAUUAAAGGUGUUUGGGGUAGACUGGGAAGAGAAGUAUUUAUUUGUUAAGGAGUUCGGGUUUGAAUAUUAAAUUUCAAAAAUAUCAAUCCAGGUAAUUAUCCUGAGUUGGUUGUCUUCUCCAUAAAGCAACUGCGGUAUUCUAACCAAAUUUCCCAAGUGAAAAUGUGAAAUUAUCAGUAUCCUUCUAGGAGUCCACACAUCCUCUGAAAAGUUGGAAAAUGUUAAGUCUUCAAAGUUAAGAAUACGGCAUGUUUAGAAUCUAGUCAUAAGGAAGUAAAGUUAUGAAAGCUGUUAGUUUGGGAAAUUAAGCUAAUUUGCUAAAUGUUAGUGGUACACUUUCAAUUUCCUUGAAAGAGCAGCUAGGGUGGAGAUACUCCCUCUCAAAGUGUUAAACCUAAUGGUUGUGGGAGGAAAAUUAUAUAAUUGUUUCACUUAAGAAAAAAAAGAAAAAUUUUCCCACAGUAUUUUCUUGGGCUUAAAUUUAAGAGAAAGAUACAGUCUUGGGAUUUUGUGGUGGUUUCAAAUGAAGCACAGUACUGGUUGAAUUUCAAAUAUCUCUGCCCUGGGAUAAGGCAUCCUUAGCAAGUAGCAACAAAAUUGUAACAAAAUGGAACAGGUAAUUAAUGUUUGGUUUUUUUAAUUUUUUUUUUUAACAUUUUUUUUUCUAUUUAACAGGUAUGGCUAAAAGGCUGGCGCUGACAAAGAUUAUAGACAACAAUGGCAUAUGAACAACAGAAGUUAUCUUUCUGAAUAAAGUUAUUGAGGGAAAUGGCAGUUUAAAAAAACAAAGCACGAGAAUAUUAACACAUAAACAGAUUGCAUCUGCAGUGGCUAAAAAAAAAUGUAUAUGAUACCCUUCAAAGUCUUAGACUAGCACAAUAUUUGAGUGUGGAUCUGGAAUGUUUCUCCUUGAAUUAGCUUUAGUUUGAAUCCUUAUGACAAUACUCUUACAUCUGAAUUUGGAGAGUAGCCUAUUGAUUAACUUGGAUUAGUCACCCAAUGAUUUAAUGACCAAUAUCCUGAGUAAUUCCAAAGGUCUUAACAUUUGAAUUGGGGGGUUUUGUUUUCAAAAAUAGAUCAUAUUGGGAGAAAAGCAUUAGAUUCACAGUUUUACCUGUACCCAAAGCAACUUUGCCAUGACACAUGAAUUGGCAGAUUACCUAAAUAUUUUGGACUUCAGUUUCCUCAUUUAAGAAGUUACAAUAUUUUUUUAGAGUGAGAUUAACUGUAGAAACUGGGGCCACAAUUCUAAUCUGACCAGUAAUUACUUAGCCUCAAUAUAUUGCUUAAGAUUAUGCUUUUCUAAGUAAAUAGUGAUAUAUGGUUAAUAGGAUAAACACUGAAGUGGGGGGGAAAAGUGUUCUGGAGGCAGUCAAUUUCAAAAUAACAUUUUGUAGGGUUAUAUUACACAUUUAUAAAUUAAUAGAAUUAGUUUGGGUAAAGUUAAACCUCUGUUCAAGGAAUUGUAUGUUACACCAAAUUUUAAAAUAUUUUCACUAUAUUCUAGUAA